CCUACGUGGGGCAGCAGUGAGGAAUAUUGGUCAAUGGCCGAGAGGCUGAACCAGCCAAGUCGCGUGAGGGAAGACGGCCCUACGGGUUGUAAACCUCUUUUGUCGGGGAGCAAAGAGAGUCACGUGUGACUCAUUGAGAGUACCCGACGAACAAGCAUCGGCUAACUCCGUGCCAGCAGCCGCGGUAAUACGGAGGAUCCGAGCGUUAUCCGGAUUUAUUGGGUUUAAAGGGAGCGUAGAUGGGUUGUUAAGUCAGUUGUGAAAGGUUGCGGCUCAACCGUAAAAUUGCAAUUGAUACUGGCAGGCUUGAGUACAGUAGAGGUGGGCGGAAUUCGUGGUGUAGCGGUGAAAUGCUUAGAUAUCACGAAGAACUCCGAUUGCGAAGGCAGCUCACUGGACUGCAACUGACACUGAGGCUCGAAAGUGUGGGUAUCAAACAGGAUUAGAUACCCUAGUAGUC
rnacentral:rRNA from 1 species